AAUCCUUGCUAGGUGGGAGGCGCUGCGCUGGAGAGGGGGUUUAGGGUCUGUUUGUUUUCCGACCCAGAGAGAGAGAGAGAGAGAGUUAAGAAGAGAGGGGUAGAGAGUUUAUUACAAAAGCAGUUUGCUGCACCGUCAAAAACCCAACCAGAACUAUGCAAAAUGAUGAAAUUGAGGCAAAAAACAGAGCACCAAAUUGAGGCAUUUCCACAAAGUACACAGGAGGAGAGGGCUGGAAUUAGAGAUAAAGCUGAUGCAAAAAGCCUCUGUAGUGAAUUUGACAAUGUUCACUUCAGAUUUAAGUGCAAAGCUGUGAAGUAGUAGUGUGCAUUUGAUAUAAGAGGGCACACCAAUGGAAGGGGGAAUACGAAAUGGACCUGAAAUUCAGAUUGUAACUUCACCUCAGCUGAUUGCUCCUUCUUGUGAUCUACUCUCUCGAGAAGCUAGGGAUCAGUAUCUUGUCAUAUGUCUACCCCUCUACCAAGCUGCUUUGAAGGGUGACUGGAAAGCUGCUAAUGGUGUCAUAGAAAUAUUUCCAACUGUGAUACUCCCUCCGUCCCAAAAUAUUAGUUCCUUAUUCCAUUUUUCAUUGUCCCAAAAUAUUAGUCCCUCUUCAAAAAUCAAGUACAAAAAUAAUAUAAUUUUUUUAUUUUGCCCUUCUUUUAAAUUAAUAAACAAUAUAAAAGGUACAAUAAUGACAUUAAUAUUCCCAAAACAUGUACUAUCAAAAGGAUAAUUUUGGAAAAUUAACUUUUUUUCAAAUGCAAUAAUUGUACUAUCAAAAAAAAUUG